rnacentral:lncRNA from 1 species
AAUUAAUUUUUUAUAAAUAGUAGAAUCCCAGUUCUAGUGGGACUCUCCCCCAGAGUCUUAGUUCGAGUAGGACUCUUCACCAGAGUCAUAAUCCAAUUGGACUCUUCAACUAUCUGAUCUGACCAAAUCUUCUAGUGAGUAUAACUCUAUAGGUUUGAACCUAAGUUGAUAGUAUAGGAAUAACUUUCUAUACCAAUCGAUAUAACCAUCUUGCAAUGGUGACCCGACGGUCGGAU